GCAAAGAUGGAGUUGGAAAUUAAAUAUUUGACAAAAUUAGAUGAAAAAUUAUUCCAGAUGGGAAAUAGUUCAAAGUUGGUAGACAAGGUGAAGAAUGAACAACUUCAGGAUGAAAACUGUGAAGAGAUAAGGAUAAAAGUGUCUAAAGGUGAGGAAGACAAAUUUAAAGUUGAUUCGGGAGGGUUACUUAGAUUCGAAGGGAG
rnacentral:lncRNA from 1 species